rnacentral:piRNA from 1 species
UCUGAGGAAUUCACAGUUCUGUGCAUAUAGC